UUUUGGUUUUCCUUGCUGUAGGACUAAUGGAGUUUAGGGCAAGAACGACCUUUCUAGCGCUGUGGAGAACCUGAAGGUGUCGGGAGGUAGGUGCAACCAUACUUCGCUGAAGACCAUCAAUUUUACCAUACUUCGCUUUGGUACCACCCAAUAUCCUCACGGCCGCAAGAGGCUUGGCUAUGAAAAUGAAGAUCACAACAACUACUAUCAACACUUUCCUGGCAGUGUUUUUGGAAAGGUUUCUCCUACGAGAAUACAUUGUCCAAUGAAGAAAUGAAAGGAAGAUUGCUAGAAAAUUGUACUUAAGAGCAAGUUGCACUUUACAAGCUUGAUUGAAAGGAUCAACUUGAUCUGGUAUUUAUAUAUACAGCUUAUUGAUGGAUAAUUUCCUGAUUAUAAUGAAUAUGUUGUGUGAAAAUUUCCUAUUGUGACUCUAUAUCUUCUUUCUAUUGUUUCGUGUGACCAGCAUAUAGGUAUAAGUACUUGUUACUUGUUUUUGUAGUCUGUUGCAUUGAAAUGUGACAAAAAUGAUGGAUUUUUUUUUUUGUGCUUCAAUAAGGUUUAAGGAUUUCAGAUUCUAAAGUUAAUAUCUUAACUUUAUUGGAUGUGGUUUGGGUGUCUAAUGGCAGAAAACUGUUAGGUGAGCUAUGUGUGUGUGUUAGGCUAACAUUUCAGGGGCACCCAGAUUACUUAUUUGUAUGCCAUGUUGCUCCUAUGCAAGAAGGGCACUGUAGGUCUGGAGAGGUAAGUUUUUUUUAUCAAAUCCAUUGCAAAGUCAAAUAUUCAUUGCACUUUUGCUCCUUAAAGUUCCAUUGUUAUAUAAUUGAUGUUUGAUUGUUUAUAAUUUUAAUGUCUUUGCCUGCCAAGAACUGCAACAGACAAAAUAAUGCAGAGUAGGCCAAAUGUAUGCAUGCUUCAUUGUCCACUUUACUGUAUGCAUGCUUCAUUGUCCACUCUGUAGCCCAGUACACUAAGGGAAAAUCAUCAUUAAAAUUUUGGAUAAAAAUUACAUUAUUCUAAUGAUUUCUUUAAGCCAUGACAAUAGGGGCAACCCCAAAGGCAAUACUGAAUUUGAUGGGCUCAUAUGGAUUGACCAUUUUUCAUGUGAAAAGUCAUCUGUAGGUUCAUGUACACUUCAAGCAUUUUUACUGAACUUAGCAAAUGGGUUUUCCAUGAAAGAGGGCAUCUCAAGGUAAUUUGGCUUCAUUUGUGUUGAUGUUUGAGCAUGGAAUGGAGUUGGAUAAUGCUAAGAUAUUUUGAAGUGUUGGGAUUAAGUGAUGGAGCAGUUUUGAGUUUGUAUGACAUGAUUUGGUAUUGGUUUCUAAAACUUGAAUGUAUUGGGAAUGG